rnacentral:lncRNA from 1 species
UAGAUGUACCUAGAGCUUAUUAAGGUGUAAUAAAAUCAUCCAAAUGUGAGUAGCUAAGUGCUAGAUUUUUUUCCAUGUCAUGUCGUUUAAUUUUCACAAUAACUGUAAAAAGAACUACUUUUAUUUCCAGUUUUAUAGAUGACAAUGGACAGAGAGCCAACAAGUACCAGAGCCAUGACUCCAGUUUAAGUAUGCCUGAUGCUAGGACCACAUUAUUGUCACUGUGUCCCAUCACUACACAGAAACUGAAUUACUACAAGACUGUUCUAGAAGAAAAAGUACCAGGAAAAACUGAACCUGUUGGGAACAACUGGAAUCCAGAAAGAGCUCCAUGUCAACUCAUUAAAUGGUGGCUCAGCACUAGAGCAGGAGAUCAUAUAUUAGAGGAGGAAUGCGAUUUAGUUGGUA